UCGGCAAUGGACGAAAGUCUGACGGAGCGACGCCGCGUGCGGGAUGAAGGCCCUUGGGUUGUAAACCGCUUUCGGAGGGGAUGAAAUCCUCGAGGGUACUCCCUCGAGGUUGACAGAGCCUCAAAAGAAGCACGGGCUAAGUACGUGCCAGCAGCCGCGGUAACACGUACUGUGCGAACGUUAUUCGGAAUCACUGGGCUUAAAGGGUGCGUAGGCGGCGAUUCAAGUCAGAUGUGAAAUGCCUGAGCUCAACUGAGGCAUUGCGUUUGAAACUGAUUCGCUAGAGUAUUUCAGGGGUGUGCGGAACUGCCAGUGGAGCGGUGAAAUGUGUUGAUAUUGGCAGGAACACCGGAGGCGAAAGCGGCACACUGGGGAAUAACUGACGCUGAGGCACGAAAGCUAGGGGAGCGAACGGGAUUAGAUACCCCGGUAGUCCUAGCUGUAAACGAUGAGCACUGGGCGGGAGGGGGUUUCCCCUUUCUGCCGUAGCGAAAGCGUUAAGUGCUCCGCCUGGGGAGUAUGGUCGCAAGGCUGAAACUCAAAGGA
rnacentral:rRNA from 1 species